GGGACACGUGGUAUCCUGUCUGAAUAUGGGGGGACCAUCCUCCAAGGCUAAAUACUCCUGACUGACCGAUAGUGAACCAGUACCGUGAGGGAAAGGCGAAAAGAACCCCGGCGAGGGGAGUGAAAAAGAACCUGAAACCGUGUACGUACAAGCAGUGGGAGCACGCUUAGGCGUGUGACUGCGUACCUUUUGUAUAAUGGGUCAGCGACUUAUAUUCUGUAGCAAGGUUAACCGAAUAGGGGAGCCGAAGGGAAACCGAGUCUUAACUGGGCGUUAAGUUGCAGGGUAUAGACCCGAAACCCGGUGAUCUAGCCAUGGGCAGGUUGAAGGUUGGGUAACACUAACUGGAGGACCGAACCGACUAAUGUUGAAAAAUUAGCGGAUGACUUGUGGCUGGGGGUGAAAGGCCAAUCAAACCGGGAGAUAGCUGGUUCUCCCCGAAAGCUAUUUAGGUAGCGCCUCGUGAAUUCAUCUCCGGGGGUAGAGCACUGUUUCGGCAAGGGGGUCAUCCCGACUUACCAACCCGAUGCAAACUGCGAAUACCGGAGAAUGUUAUCACGGGAGACACACGGCGGGUGCUAACGUCCGUCGUGAAGAGGGAAACAACCCAGACCGCCAGCUAAGGUCCCAAAGUCAUGGUUAAGUGGGAAACGAUGUGGGAAGGCCCAGACAGCCAGGAUGUUGGCUUAGAAGCAGCCAUCAUUUAAAGAAAGCGUAAUAGCUCACUGGUCGAGUCGGCCUGCGCGGAAGAUGUAACGGGGCUAAACCAUGCACCGAAGCUGCGGCAGCGAC
rnacentral:rRNA from 1 species